CCUACGGGAGGCAGCAGUGGGGGAUAUUGCACAAUGGGGGGAACCCUGAUGCAGCGACGCCGCGUGGGUGAAGGAGUGCUUCGGCAUGUAAAGCCCUAUCGGCAGGGAAGAAGCAAGACGGUACCUGACUAAGAAGCCCCGGCUAACUACGUGCCAGCAGCCGCGGUAAUACGUAGGGGGCGAGCGUUAUCCGGAUUCACUGGGUGUAAAGGGAGCGUAGACGGCCAAGCAAGCCAGGGGUGAAAGCCCGGGGCCCAACCCCGGGACUGCCCUUGGAACUGGGUGGCUGGAGUGCGGGAGGGGGAGGCGGAAGUCGUGGUUAAGGGGUGAAAGGCGUAGAUAGAGGGAGGAACACCGGGGGCGAAGGCGGCCUGCUGGGCCGCGACUGACGCUGAGGGUCGAAAGCGUGGGGAGCGAACAGGAUUAGAUACCCGGGUAGUC
rnacentral:rRNA from 1 species